UCUAUUUUAUUUCAUAUUUUCAGGAACUGAAUAUCAUGCCACAAGAAGUUGAAAGUUUAUUGGUGUCUUGUAUUCUGGAUCAUACCAUAAAUGGCCGAAUUGACCAGGUGAACAAAGUAUUGGAACUGGUAAGAGAGACCACUGGUAUAGCACAGUACAAUGCCCUUGAUAAAUGGACGUCACAGCUGCACUCAUUACACCAGACAGUCAUUAACAAGAUGGCCUAAAUUAGAAUAACACAAGGGGUUCUUUUUGUUUGGUUUUGUUUUUACUUUUUUUUUCCUCUCCAGGUUUUCAUUUUGUUCAGAUAUUAAAAGAAAUCUAAAACAAAUUCGUACCUGUAAUUUACCUUGCUACAAUAAAACUGUUUUCUUUUAAAA
rnacentral:lncRNA from 1 species